GUGGGGAAUAUUGGGCAAUGGGCGCAAGCCUGACCCAGCAACGCCGCGUGAAGGAAGAAGGCUUUCGGGUUGUAAACUUCUUUUGUCAGGGAAGAUGAAGAGACUGUACCUGACGAAUAAGCCACGGCUAACUACGUGCCAGCAGCCGCGGUAAUACGUAGGUGGCAAGCGUUGUCCGGAUUUACUGGGUGUAAAGGGCGUGUAGGCGGGAAGAUAAGUCAGGCGUGAAAACCAGAGGCUCAACCUCUGGCCUGCGUUUGAAACUGUUUUUCUUGAGUACUGGAGAGGUUGGCGGAAUUCCUAGUGUAGCGGUGAAAUGCGUAGAUAUUAGGAGGAACACCAGUGGCGAAGGCGGCCAACUGGACAGCAACUGACGCUGAGGCGCGAAAGCGUGGGGAGCAAACAGGAUUAGAAACCCGAGUAGUCC
rnacentral:rRNA from 1 species